rnacentral:rRNA from 1 species
AACCAUCCCGAAUUACCGCUGUCGUACUACUUAGGUGUUCUCGGCAUGCCAGGCCUUAGUGCAUAUGCUGGAUUUUUCGAUGUGUCCAAGCCAAAAAAGGGCGACUAUCUGUUUAUCUCGGCAGCAUCAGGCGCCGUCGGACAACUUGUCGGGCAGCUUGCCAAGAUCACAGGUUCCUAUGUAGUUGGCAGUGCCGGUUCUGAUGAGAAGGUCAACCUCCUGAAAACAAAGUUUGGAUUCGACGAUGCCUUCAACUACAAGACGGAACAGGACCUCAACGCCGCACUAAAGAGGUGCUUCCCGGAGGGCAUUGACAUCUACUUCGACAAUGUGGGUGGUGCGAUAUUAGACGCUGCGCUACUCAACAUGAGGCUGCACGGGCGGGUGGCCAUGUGCGGGUUGAUUUCGCAGUACAACCUGGAGCUGCAUGAGGGCGUGCGCAACCUUGCCUGCGUCGUUACCAAGCGCGUCCGCAUAGAGGGGUUCAUCGUGACGGAGUACUUCGGCACCUACCGCAAGUUCGAAGAGGAGAUG